CGGCGGACGGGUGAGUAACACGUGGAUAACCUACCUAUAAGACUGGGAUAACUUCGGGAAACCGGAGCUAAUACCGGAUAAUAUAUUGAACCGCAUGGUUCAAUAGUGAAAGACGGUUUUGCUGUCACUUAUAGAUGGAUCCGCGCCGCAUUAGCUAGUUGGUAAGGUAACGGCUUACCAAGGCAACGAUGCGUAGCCGACCUGAGAGGGUGAUCGGCCACACUGGAACUGAGACACGGUCCAGACUCCUACGGGGGCAGCAGAC
rnacentral:rRNA from 1 species